GUGGGGGCUUGCAUCACAGAGGAUCUCUACACAUCAGAAUGAAUGGGACGUGGGGCAGGCAGCACACUGCAAUGUGGCUGUUUUGUCUCCAAACUCCAAAGCCCUAAGCUUAUCUUGUGUUGUGGUGAGGCGCAUGGCGCACAAAGCAUUUGCAUCUUUCAAGGGAUAUUCUUUUUGUAAAGAUUUAUGUAUUCAUUUGAAAGGCAAAGCAAUCUUACACCGGCUGGUUCACUCCGCAAGUAGUCACAAUGGCCAGGGCUGGGCCAGGCUUUAGCCAGGAGCCCGGAACACACCCAGGCCCCCACGUGGUUGGGAAGGGGCCAAGUGCUCGAGCUGCCGUCCACUGCUUUCCCAGCACGAUAGCAAGGAGUGGGUGCUCUGAGAGCGGAUGCCAGCGUUGCAGGUGCGGCUUACUCACCGGCCGGGUCCCGGCCCCCGGCUGGGUCUGCUGGGCUGACGUGUAGGAAUCAGCCCACUGUGUCCAUGUCCGUCUGCCCACAGAUGGCCACAGGGACGAGCGGAGGAUAAAUCUGGGAGCAGAGUGGGCAUGGAAAGGCUGAGAAGGCCUCUUGGGCGCAGUGGGGCUGUCAAGUUUCCACGGCCGGAACCUACAACCACGGGCGGAGCAGGGCGGGCGUCCGGGAACUGGCUUCAUGCUGGUGCGUGUGAUAUGGGUACCCACUCAGGAAAGACACCGUUCCAGCUGGAACUCUCGAAUUCCCGCAGAGCGACGCUCAGUUUCAUACGGCCACCUUCCCAGGAUGCAACAGUCCCACACUGGACCAGGGCGCAUGCUCAGACCCUGCCCGGGUAGCCAAUCCGCGUGGGGCCCCGCCCCCUUCCCUAUAAGAAGGCGAAGAAGGCGGGAAAUUCGCAGACCGCUCUCUGCGGCGGGGCGCCUGUGGGCCGAGCCUUUCCUCUCCACCCGGUGGACGGUGUGGCCGGACCGCUCCGCCCCCGUGAGCCUGGAAAAGAUAGAAGGGAUGUGCCAGUCUACAGAGGGUGCUCAGGUAAUUCUGCCUGAAGAGAGAAUGAAUAUGUCUGCUUUGCUACAAGUUGAACACAAUUGCAGAGUUGCUUCCAUGAAUCAGGAAAACACAGGAAGUGGAGACGGUGAUUAG
rnacentral:lncRNA from 1 species